AUGUGUCUCUAUAGAACUCGAAUAUAGAACUUAAAGAUUCAAAUAAGAAUUGCUCUCUUAUUAUAACCUGUGAAACUCUCUCAAAACACAAGCUCUCAAAUCUCUAAUCCUCUAUAUGAUAUCACAACUCAAUAUCUACUUAUAUAUAGAUUAUAUUUUCCUAAUCCUAAUAGAUAAACAUAUCUUUAGAUAACUCCUAAACUUAUUAUGUUUCCUAUUUCCAAGGCUCGGUAGGAUCAGGUCUCCUUACUUCUAUCUCAAGCUUCUUUAUCUUUCAAGCUUAUUCCAACAAUCUCUCCCUUAAGCUUGAACUCCACACUGCUCAAAUCUUGGACUCCAAUGAGAUCUCUCAUCUCUUUAAACUUAAUCCUUCCCAAAGCUUUGGUCAAGAUAUCCGCUUUCUGUUGGCUUCCAGGAACGUGCUCAACUUCUAUCACUCCAUUCUCAACACACUCUCUAAUAAAAUGGUAUCUAGAGUGUAUGUGUUUACUCCUUCCGUGAAACACAGGGUUUCGUGUGAGCGCAAUGGCUGACUGAUUGUCAAUCCUUAUAGUAACCCUUUCACUCGCAGAUCCGUUGAUUUCUUCAAGCAACUCGCUGAGCCAUAUUGCUUGUCGUGCUGCCUCUGUUCCAGCCAUGAACUCCGCCUCGCAGGAAGAUAAGGCCACAGUCUCUUGCUUCUGUGAACACCAAGUGAUUGGACUCUCUCCAAGGUAAAAGAUGUGACCGGUUGUGCUUCUUCCAUCGUCAGGAUCCGUAUUGUGACUGCUGUCACUAUAUCCUAUGAGUCUUGAGGGAGUUGAUGUUGAAUGCUUGAACGUUAAGCCACAUGCUGUCGUUCCCUUCAGAUACCGUAAGCAUUGCUUCAUGGCUAUGCCAUGAGAUUCCUUUGGAUCUUGCAUGUACCUACUCAGCACUCCGACACAAUAAGACAGGUCCGGACGUGUAUGGAGCAGGUAGCGAAGACAACCAACAUUGCGCCUGUAAGUUGUUGCAUCAAUGGAUUUUUCUUCUUCAGACUUUGAUAGUUUGAGUCCGGAUUCCAUGGGUGUUUGCACCAUGUUGCAAUCUUUCAUUCCAGCUUCCUCCAAUAUCUUUAACGCGUAGUUUCUUUGGCUCAGGGUGAUCAUACCUUGGCUUUGAGUAACUUCGAUUCCGAGAUAAUACGUUAGCUUUCCCAAGUCGCUCAUAUCAAACUUCGUGGCCAUCUCUUUCUUGAAUGCAUUAAUAACCUCCACAUUUGUUCCUGUGAUGAACAAAUCAUCUACAUAGACAGCAACAACUAGUAGAUCAUCAUGUACCUUCUUUCGAUAGACAGAGGGUUCUUUUGAACAUUUGAAAAACCUUAGCUCCUUUAGUAUUGAGUUAAGUUUAUUGUUCCACGCUCUUGGUGCUUGACGUAAUCCAUAUAAUGCCUUGUUGAGUCGAUAAACUUUGCUUUCGGAGCCCUUUAUCUCAAACCCUUCAGGUUGAUAAACAAACACGGUUUCUUUCAACUCUCCAUGCAAGAAGGCUGUCUUGACGUCAAGAUGAUGUAUCUCCCAUUUAUUAGCUGCUGCGAGACUCAUUAACAAACGAAUGGUUUCGAUCCUAGCCACUGGCGCGAAGACCUCGUCGAAAUCAACUCCCUGUACUUGUACGUAUCCCUUUGCGACAAGGCGGGCUUUGUAUUUGUUGAUGCUCCCGUCUGAGUUCUUCUUUAGUUUGAAUACCCAUUUCAAUCCUAUAGCUUUUGCUCCUACAGGUAGAUCCACGAGCACCCAUGUUCCAUUCUUCUCAAUAGAACCUAUCUCGUCACAGCACGCGUCUGUCCACUCCUUUGUCUCUCUUGCUUCUGCAUAGUUUCGCGGCUCAUUAUCCAGACACAUAAGUAGGUAUUCACCCUCUUCCUCAGCAAGAAGUACAUAGUCAUCUAGAUAUUGUGGUUUACUAGUAUGUCUCGUUGAACGCCUUAACAGAACCUCUGUUUCGUCUUCUUCUUCUUCGUGAUGAGACUCUAUGGCUAUUACAUUCGGCGUGUUUUCUUCAUUGGAUGCUACACUGACCUCUCUCGUCUCUUUUUGUGUUGAUUCUUCACUUUCUUCUUGAUCCUUUUGAAUACCGUGGUUUCCAAACUCUCCAAAUAUGAUUUUGAAGCUUCCAUUCUCGCUCUGUUCUGAGUUGUUUUGACGCCAGUUCCAUCCUUUUGCUUCGUCGAAGAUGACGUCUCUGCUUACAACAACUCGUUGCAUCUGGGGAUCAUACAUUCUAUAUGCUUUGGAGCCGGGUUCUGUGCCUAGAUGAACAAGCAUGCGUGAUCUGUCCUCAAGUUUCUGUAAGUGUGGCUUGACAGACUUUGCAUAUCCAAUACAUCCAAAGGUUUUGAGAUGAUUUAUGUUCGGCUUCUUUCCACGAUAAGCUUCAUACGGAGUCUUGUCUUUUAGCACUCGAGUAGCGACGCGAUUGAGAAGGUAAGUGCUGUGUCUUAUAGCCUCACCCCACAUGUAGUUAGGAACUUGCAUAUGCUUAAGAAUGCUUCGCGUCAUUUCCAUCAAGGUUCUGUUUCGUCUCUCGACGACUCCAUUCUGCUGCGGUGUAUAUGGAGAUGUAAAGUGCCGUUUGGUUCCCAUCUUCUCACAGUAUUCAUUAAACUCAUUUGAAACAAACUCUCCACCCCUAUCUGUUCUAAACGUUCUUAUCUUGUUUCCUGCGUCUUGUUCCACCAUUGUUUUAAACCGUUUAAACUUCUCGAAUGCAUCGCUUUUCUCUUUAAGAAGAAUACUCCACAUAUACCUUGUAUGAUCAUCUAUAAGCACAAAUAUGUAUCUAUUUCCUCCAAUGGUGCUUGGUGAUAUAGGCCCACACAGAUCACCAUGGAUGAGUUCGAGCGCUGUAUCAGCUCGGUAAGCAGUUGAUUGCGGGAAUUUCUGACGUGUUUGCUUGCCGAGUAAGCAAGAACCACACACCCUCUUCUCGAAACACAUGUGUGGGAUUCCUAUUACAAGCUCUCUCUGAACCAUUGACUGAAUCGUUUCGAAGUUAACAUGUCCUAACCGUGCGUGCCAGCGAUUUGAUGUGUCUGUUGUUGUAGAUAGCAAGCACAUGUUAUCUUUUAUCCCCAUACGAACCUUGUAAAGACGAUUCUUAGACCUUUCGGCUUUGACAAGCAACUUUCCUUCAUGAUCAUGCAUAGUCAAGCACUCCCCUUUUAGCCUUAUGUCACAGCCAGAUUCUGUCGCUUGUCCGAGACUGAUUAUAUUACUCUUCAGAUCGGGUAUGUAGUAGACAUCACGCAUCAUUCUUGUCUCUCCGUUUCGAUCGAUGAACUCAAUGCUCCCUUUUCCUUUGAUGUCUAUUCGAGAGUCAUCUCCAAACUUGACGUUUCCUGUGAUGGUCUCAUUGAUCCUCUUGAAGUAUCGACGAUCUCCGGUCAUGUGGUUGCUAGCCCCAUUAUCAAGAUACCACAUAUUAUCUUCUCUAUUGGACUCAUACUUGCUUGGCAUGACUUUUCCUUCAUUGAGGUAUACUACCUCAUGCAUCAUAAGUUCGUCUGCAUCUUGUGUAUCAUCCUUUUCUUGCUCAUGUGUUUCUUGCAGUUUAAGGAGACGAUCGGGACAGGUAGAGGCAUAAUGACCCGUUUUGUCACACCGAUAACACAUCACUCUUGAUGUAUCUCUGCCUCGACCACGACCUCUUCCACGAUAAGACCGUCCUCCUCUUCCACGAUAUCCUCCUCGGUAAUCAUCUUGUGUGUUUUGAUGUUCCGUAUUAGAGUACAGAAGCUUGCUUUGAUCUUCAUGGCUUUCUUCUGAAACACGUAUACGUUCCUCAUAAGUUUUCAAACGUCCCACAAUGUCUUCAAACUUCGUGUUCUUUAAAUCAAGAACUUGUUCAAGAGACGCCACGAUGUGUAUGUACUUCCUGUGAGGAAGACACUUGAGAAACUUCUUGACCAACUUAGAUUCCUCAAUCUCUUCUCCUAGGGCAGCGCAUGUAGAUGAGAUUUCUGAUAGCUUGCCGACGAAGUCAUCAAUCUUCUCAGUGUCUUUCAUUGUUAAUCGGUCAAAAUCUUCCAUUAGAGUUUGCAACCUUGCUUCUCUAACUCUCUCUGCACCGACAUACCGAGCUUUGAUAGCCUCCCAAACCUUUUGUGCUGUAUCCAGCUCUCCAACUUGUAGUACGAGGGCCUCAGGGAUUGCUUGGAACAACAAACCAAUCGCUAUAUCAUUCUUCUCAUCGUCUUCUGUUGCAUCUUCAACAACAAGACUCCAUACUUUAUGAACCCUGAGAAUGUUCUUCAUUCGAAUGGCCCACACCGUGUAAUUUGUGGAAGUGAGCAUCGAGAGUUUUAUGGAUGAUCGCUCCCCUUCCUUUAACUUUGCCGGAGUUGCCGUAAUAAGAUCUCCCAUUCUCGAUUCUCUUUGUUUGAUCUCCUAAUGCUCUGAUACCAAAUAUAGAACUCGAAUAUAGAACUUAAAGAUUCAAAUAAGAAUUGCUCUCUUAUUAUAACCUGUGAAACUCUCUCAAAACACAAACUCCUAAACUUAUUAUGUUUCCUAUUUCCAAGGCUCGGUAGGAUUAGGUCUCCUUACUUCUCUCUCAAGCUUCUUUAUCUUUCAAGCUUAUUCCAACA
rnacentral:lncRNA from 1 species